GCUGACUCCGAUUUCAGUUCCUGC
rnacentral:siRNA from 1 species